CCAGCAAGCCGAGUGCAGCAAUGAGUGAAGGCCCUUUGAACGUUCAGGACUCGAUUACGCUAGACCGCUAUGGAAGCACUUCAACCAAAGAGGGCGGCGGCCUAUCAAGGAUUAUUUAUGCGUUUUUGUGUGCUUUUUGAGCAAGGCUUGUCAUCUAGACCUGAGCACAAACGCAUUUAUACCCGCACUCAAACACUUUUUUUGCUCGUAGUGGGAUCAGCGCAGAGCUGUUUUGUGACAAUGCCACACAUUUUGUUGGUGCUUCACGGGAGCUGAAGGCAAUAGCGGAUUUGAUCUGGAAUGACAGUGGCAAGCACCAAAUUGUGGAUCAGUGUAGCCAACUCGGUGUCAGUUUCCAUUUUAUACCACCCCGAUCGCCGAAUUUUGGAAGACUAUGGGAGAGCGCGGUGAAAGUAGCGGCGAAACAAUUGUUGGUGCGAAGUUUCAAUAGCACAGCCCUUAACUACGAAGAACUGGUCACUGCGAUAGCACAAGCAGAGGCAGUGAUGAACUCACGACCGCUUCACCCACUCUCGUCGGACAGUAAUGACUACGAGGCAUUGACGCCGGGUCAAUUCUUAAUUGGUCGACCAUUGAACUGCAUGCCUGAGACAUUUGAUGAGGACAUUUUGAAGUUAUCUACUACUAAUCGAUGGAAAAGAAUCGUCGCAGUACACCACGCAUUUUGGAGACGCUGGUCGCUGGAGUAUUUGACGUUGUUGCAGGAGCGAAGUAAGUGGUCUUCGGUAUGCAACAACAUUCAACCAGGCAUUUUGGUCUUAAUUGGAGAAGACAACAUACCCCAGGACAAUGGGCUCUGGGUCGUGUACAUCAAGUUCAUCCUGGCACUGAUGGUGUAGUUCGUGUAGUCACCAUCAAAACCAAAUCAGGAUUUAACAAGCGCAACAUACAUAAGAUCUGCCCGUUACCGAUUGUAGAGACCGAGUAAAAUUGUUGGAAGGAGCGUUCAAGGCCGGGAGUAUGUAUACGCCAAAUUAGCGCAAAGGGCUUAUGGCCGG
rnacentral:lncRNA from 1 species